rnacentral:lncRNA from 1 species
AAAAAUGUCCUUUCUGAAACCUAGCCCCCAUAGUAUCAACUUUUUCUUCCAAUAUCACAGGAUCUUUUAAAUAGCGGAUUUAACGCCGUAAUUCAGGAACCGGCCAAAUUUUUUUUUGUGUUUUUUGCUUUAUGAUUUCAGUUGUCUACCUGGUUACGCCUGGAUUUGCACUCAACGACCAUCCAUGGGCUGAAAGCUUCCCCCGUUGUCACUGGAGUUACUUACUUGACCACCGGGUUCGAAGCAACUCCUUUACCAUCAUCGUUGCUCCAACCUGCCAAAUAAGAAGAACAAAGAUUUUUUAGAUACCCAUAUUUUCCACAGGUAAAGCAUACCACGGGUAAAGUCUCAACCUUUACCCUUUGUACCCUCUUGUUGAUCAAAACUUGCGAGGUAAGUGGUUUUUUCAAAUCUACAAACACCACUAUCAUGGCAAACUGACCCCUUACUCCACUAUUUAUCUUGAUAUCUAACUUGGCCACUUUUCCGACCAAACUCCCGAUCUCCUAUAGAACCCAUUUAUUAUAUAGAAAUCUCAGUAAACUUGAGAAACAGACCCAGGCUAGAACCAUGCUUGGGAAAGAUUUUAAUGGGUUGAAUCCAUCAUUCACAACUGGACUAUAAAAUAGUGUCCAAACACUAUCCACGGACCUUGAGUCAGAGCCAUCUCAUAGUCGACCUUGUUUUGGAAACGAACUAAGUAAUAGUUGUUUUUCAUGUCUAUUACCCGAAAAGAUUGGAAGGGUUUCCAGAGACUAGAGAUUCGAUUACAAAGGAUGCCAUAUCCUAUAUUACGCCCCAAUAGUUUGAUGACAAUAGUAGUCUCCAUAUCUUUGACCAGUAAUCUUUUGAUUCGUUUCAAGAAGUCGAUGGCGGGGAUUCCAUUCACGGUGGAUCUAAAAAUGUCCCCAUCUUCAAACUCUAGAUUUACAUUAGGAGUAUCAGCUGAGAUCGUGAGGGGAGCCAAGGAUCCAAUACUUUCCCUUCCCAAUAACUUAUCUUUCCAUUAACCUGUUGGGAAAUGUGUCUAUAUUGUAGUAAUCAUGUUACUGUUUUUUAUUUAUUUGAAAGAUGAAUGAAUAAAUAAAGUUAAUUUCACAUUUCACUAUUAUAUCUUUUGUAUUUAUGUUUUUUAUAUUUUGCAUGCAUAGCGAAAUUAUGACAAGCAAAUGUUAGUUCAUUGAUUGUCAAAAGUUCAAAUAGAAAAUAAGUG